CAGAACAGCAGCUGAAGUUUGCUUUCACCUGCUGCAUUAACCACAUACACACAACCUGUAUUUCACAACGUUUCUCAUUUCUUUGCUGGGACACAAUGCACCUCACCUUUUCAUCAUCUUGGAACAAUGAAUGUUCAUGGAACUGUAGCGUUUGUCUUUUACUGUCAGUGUCCAUACAAUCACACUGUACACUUGACAUUUUCCACUGUCUUCUCCUCUCAGCCUCAUGAACAAUGUUCGUCUAAUGGCUUCAUUUUCUCCACUUUUUCCAGGACCAACAGCUGGAGACAAAAUCUCUCCUGAACGAGAUGAAGUCAGUGGAAGAGAAGGAGAAUCUGUCACACUCACAUGUCGAUAUGAGACAACUUACAGGUGUCAGCUGUGAAGACCUCAGUCCAGUCAACAAUGAAGAGUCCAGUUUAGAAGACAGCACUGUUACUCUGUCCUACAAAUACUCCAAACAAGCAGCUGUUGGUGAUUCUUUCUUCUGGUAUCGACAAUAUCCAGGAAAACCACCAGAGUUCCUCAUCUCUCACUACGGAACAGGAACAGUAAUAUCUAAUCCAGUCUCCAGACUGACUGUGAAAGUGAGUGAGGAUCAAACCCAAAUGGAUCUGCAGAUCUCCUCUGCUGCAGUGACUGACUCUGCUCUGUACUACUGUGCUGUGAGGCCCACAGUGACAGCAAACCCACAGUCUCUGUACAAAAACACAAGCUGACACACUGACGAGCUGC